GGAGGAAAGCAGGGGAUCGCAAGACCUUGCGCUUUUGGAGCGGCCGAUGUCUGAUUAGCUUGUUGGUAAGGUAAAAACUUACCAAGGCUUCGAUCAGUAGCUGGUCUGAGAGGACGACCAGCCACACUGGGACUGAGACACGGCCCAGACUCCUACGGGAGGCAGCAGUGGGGAAUUUUGGACAAUGGGGGCAACCCUGAUCCAGCCAUGCCGCGUGAGUGAAGAAGGCCUUCGGGUUGUAAAGCUCUUUCAGCCGGAACGAAACGGUUACGGUUAAUACCCGUGACUACUGACGGUACCGGAAGAAGAAGCACCGGCUAACUACGUGCCAGCAGCCGCGGUAAUACGUAGGGUGCGAGCGUUAAUCGGAAUUACUGGGCGUAAAGCGUGCGCAGGUGGUUUUGUAAGUCAGAUGUGAAAUCCCCGGGCUCAACCUGGGAACUGCGUUUGAAACUACAAAGCUAG
rnacentral:rRNA from 1 species